UACGUAGGGUCCAAGCGUUAAUCGGAAUUCCUGGGCGUAAAGCGUGCGCAGGCGGUUCUGAAAGUCAGAUGUGAAAUCCCCGGGCUUAACCUGGGAACUGCGUUUGAAACUACAAGGCUAGAGUGUGGCAGAGGGGGGUGGAAUUCCACGUGUAGCAGUGAAAUGCGUAGAGAUGUGGAGGAACACCGAUGGCGAAGGCAGCCCCCUGGGUUAACACUGACGCUCAGGCACGAAAGCGUGGGGAGCAAACAGG
rnacentral:rRNA from 1 species